GAUGAACGCUGGCGGCGUGCCUAAUACAUGCAAGUCGAGCGAACAGGCGAGGAGCUUGCUCCUCUGACGUUAGCGGCGGACGGGUGAGUAACACGUGGAUAACCUACCUAUAAGACUGGGAUAACUUCGGGAAACCGGAGCUAAUACCGGAUAAUAUAUUGAACCGCAUGGUUCAAUAGUGAAAGACGGUUUUGCUGUCACUUAUAGAUGGAUCCGCGCCGCAUUAGCUAGUUGGUAAGGUAACGGCUUACCAAGGCAACGAUGCGUAGCCGACCUGAGAGGGUGAUCGGCCACACUGGAACUGAGACACGGUCCAGACUCCUACGGGAGGCAGCAGUAGGGAAUCUUCCGCAGUGGGCGAAAGCCUGACGGAGCAACGCCGCGUGAGUGAUGAAGGUCUUCGGAUCGUAAAACUCUGUUAUUAGGGAAGAACAAAUGUGUAAGUAACUAUGCACGUCUUGACGGUACCUAAUCAGAAAGCCACGGCUAACUACGUG
rnacentral:rRNA from 1 species